AUAGAGAAAUUAGCAACCGUGCCAUAUACAACUGUGAUCAUGGAUUAUUAGAUAAGCAGUGAAUUUUCUAUCCUGUGCUGUGCUGAUCAACAACAUUCAGUGAUGCGUCGGAAGCCUCACGUAUUCAGUGCUGAUCAUGGUUGGUUUGGUGUUUGAUGGCGAAGCGGAGCGGCCGGACAGAUCUACGACGAAGAGCUUGCCUACGGUGGCCGGCGACGGGACGUGGCAACGGCGCGUACCGGCGACGGGACACAGCAAGAUCUACGAUCUCUAGCCCUCUCGGCCUCGGCCGAUCAGAUCGCCGGUCACACUGCUCGUGGUUCCCCGUGCGAUCACGUCAAUCAUCAAACGAAACAAAACGAAAAAAAAAAAAACGUGGCUUCUGAACGCCCAGAUCCAGAUCGAUCGGUUGCUGCCGGCAGCAGGUGCGCCGUCGGCGAGACAAGACCAGACCUCACCUCGCCCCUCUCCACCCAACAUUCCCACGUCCGAACGAGGAGAGGAAUCCGGCCGCUGCUCUGCUCGAUCGAUGGUCGUGUGAAUUUCUCAACCUGUUCGCGUUGAUCCGCCGCGCUGGGCCCCCCGGCGAAAGGAUGCCGAAAGCAACCGGCGAUCAAAUCCGCGCCGCCGUCGACCAAGAACCGUAUGUAUAAAGAAAAAAAAAAGGCUGAAUGCGCAUCGUCUUCUUGAAGUGGGAUGAGGGAGGCAAAAACUCACAACCAGAUUUCCACUACCAAAGAAAAGCCCUCCAAGCAUCCAGUGGAGUAAAGUUACUGAAAGUAUCGCUGAUACCGAAAGGAGAGGGGAAAAAAGAGGAGAGAAGAACACAGCAAAGAGAAAAGAAGAAACCAAAGGAGACUGCCUCGAAGCAUUGGUUCCAAGAUCGAUCACUAGAAAACAAGAACUGAAGGAAAAGAAGAUUCUGAACGGGUCCUCAGGAUGGUUAAUUCUUCUUAAUUUAUCUUUUGCUGCAAUGAGAACUGAAGUGCACAAGAGAUUGUUGACACCAUCACACCAUCAGCUAGCAUUUCAGAAGAUCUAAUCAGCAACAGUGUGCCCUAUGCUUGUAGCUUAUCCAUUCAUCGGCUACUGGGGAUCCUUGAAGGCGAAGGGAUAAAAGCCAAGCCUGUCAAGUUGGUACGGGAGAUGAAACGUUCUACACUGAUCAUAGCUGGUUUGAUGGAGAUGCAUAUCAGAAUUAAUUGGGAUGUGGCACUUCAGGCCGGUGGUAUUUUUUUCUCCUUAAUUAUGAUGGUUACAUACGGCUGCUCACUAGAUUAGACACUUUAAAACCAACUAUACUUAGUUAAGAUACUUCAAAAGAAAUGGGCAAUACUAAUUUCCAUAUAUUUGGCAUUACACCAAUUAACCAGUCUAGCUUUGUUGUAAGUUGGAACAGGCGAAUUCCUUGGAAGCUCUUGUCAGUUGAUGUAUUGUUACUACCA